GAAUAGGUAGUAGGAAAAGAGAAAGAGAUUAACCUAGCCAAAGAUCCAUAGUCAAUAAUGAAAGUUAUAAUGACCACAUUGAUCUUGAAUAAGGUCAAUAUAAAAGAUGUAAUAAGAGAAUUGCAUAUAAUACAGCAGUAAGGAAUAUUAGACAAUGAUCGAAAGAUUGAUCUAGUUACUUAGAAAGAUGAAGAUUAUAAAAAAAAAAAAAAGAAAGUAAUAAUGAAGAAUAUAAAAUCAAUAUAUAUAUAUAAGAAUAAUGAUGAGAAUAUAUAUAGAAGUCUUAACCAAAAUUAGUGCCAGCAGUUGCGGCUAAACUAAGGAGGCAAACGUUAAUCAUUAAUGGCUUAAAGGAUCCGUAGAAUGACAUGUAA
rnacentral:rRNA from 1 species